CGCAGCCGCGGUAAUUCCAGCUCCAAUAGCGUAUAUUAAAGUUGUUGCAGUUAAAAAGCUCGUAGUUGAAUUUCGGGAUCAAGGAAUCGGUCAUGCCUUGGUAUGUACUGGUUUUAUUGGUUCUCACCUUCUAAAGAACCAUAAUGUCAUUUAUUUGAUGUUAUGGGGAAUUAGGACUGUUACCUUGAAAAAUUAGAGUGUUUAAAGCAGGCUCACGCUUGAAUACAUUAGCAUGGAAUAAUGAAAUAGGACGUUUGAUUCUAUUUUGUUGGUUUCUAGGAUCGACGUAAUGAUUAAUAGGGAUAGUUGGGGGCAUUAGUAUUCAAUUGUCAGGGGUGAAAUUCUUGGAUUUAUUGAAGACUAACUACUGCGAAAGCAUUUGCCAAGGAUAGUUUUCUAUUAAUCAAGAACGAAAGUUAGGGGAUCGAAGACGAUCAGAUACCGUCAUAGU
rnacentral:rRNA from 1 species